UCCCAAGUUGCUGGGAUUGCUGGUGAAUAUCCCCCACGCCCAGCUGACCGCUCUUAACUUCAGUUUAUUUUGUUUGUUUUAGCAGACUGGUCCUUGGCCAGAGCACUUAAUUAUUGAUAGCUUCUCCUAAUGAGUGCUGUGUUACUCUCAGCUAAUUAGUUAAUGAGGUAUUAAUGGAUCCAAGCUACUAUACAGAUUAUUGAAGUCUAUGCCCUUAGGGUCCUUAUAACUGGUUGAGGAAAGGGAAACUUUGAAGCUUAAGGGCUCUGUCUAUAAGGCUUGAGGGAGUGGUUUAGGCCACUGAAAUUGUGGAUUAGGCUUGCAUCCCUGGUUCUUGAGCCAGGGGCCGGAUUUUACCUGUUGGACAGCAUGAGGUUAACUUUGAAGGAACCCAGCUUCCAGGAUCUAGGCAUGUUGCCAGGCAUGACUGACUACAGUAUGUAUCCCUUUUCCUCUUCCUCUGAUGCCCAGUGUGUAGAGCAGGUCUCAGGAAGCUCUGAGAAUCCACUGGUACAUGGAGCAGCAGCAUGUGGCAAAGGGUGAGGUGGUCAACCAGGAGCUGUAGCCAGGGCCAAGGGCUCUUCCAGGCAGUCUGCCAGGACCACCGUCCACACACACCUGCCUCCCUCUGUGGCCUGGCUUAGAAGGUCUGCUUCAGACCCUAAUUCUCUGUGGCGUGUUUAUUCUUGGCCCACCACAGAGGCCAUAGAUUGAAGCAGCGUUUCAUUGAAGGCCACCCUGCUUUCUCCUUCUCAGACCUCAAGCUCUGCCACUCUCCUGUAAUCCUUGCUUCCAGGCUGGUCUUGCUGUCCCUGCACCCCAGCCUGGGCCCCCAGGUGAAGUGUCUUUCUCCCAGCCCACCUUGGAGUCCUGGCUCUAAGGAUGGCACUCACUCAGGAAUUCCCUUGAGCUGGGGUUGGCAUUACCCUGGGGGCUAUGGAGCCAGGCCACUGUGAGCCAUGGCACCUAUGAUAGUUGCUUGACCUUAUCAACUUCCAUGUCCUUAUCUAUCAGGUGGAGAUAAUAAAAUGGGACUGCUGUGACUAGGAGGAGCUUAAAUGAGGCAGUCUAUGUCACAUUCCUUGGUUCUGUUAACUUCUUCGGGUCACAAUUACUUGAGAGAGCAGAAACACCAUUUUUUUUUUUAAUUCCCCUGAAGCCUAGCAGAGUAGUCACUGGAGAUUUGUUUAGAUAUGAGGGCCCUCCCAACCUAAGCUGCUGGGGGCCAGGCCUUCCAACAGCACCUUCACACUUGCUCAGGUCCAAGGAGGGAGCCAGCUGCCCUGAGGGAUUUAAUGUUGUACUGACUUCCAACUAUUUUGGGCAAUGGCAUUCUUUGCUUAUAGAUUUGGGUGGCCACACCAUUAGAUUAUAGAUGCUAUUUAUACCAGUAAGAACUUUACAAGUUCUUAUUCUCCACUGGAGAAGUCUGAUACUGUGCCCUCUGUGCCUUGUUGGUUAGGGGUAAAUUGCAAGCAGACUCCUGUUGGUCUGUUUAGACACAUCCCUGGCCCCCCACCCCAGGAGAAGCAGAAGUGUGGGAAGAGAGCUCUCUCUAUUUUGGUGCUGCUCCACUUAGGUUUUCCACUGCUGAGCUGGUAGACCCUGGAGGGGACAAGAAUUGGGAAGCUGCCACAGGACCCCCGGCUUUCAGUGUUAAUUGUGAGCUCUGUGUCCCGAUCCCCCUGGUUCUUGGCACCUUCAGCUGAAGCCUCCCCUUUGUAUCCUAGAUCAGUGUUUGGUUCCUUAUCCCUGCCCCCAUCCCACAGGCACUGGCUUUGGGAGCAGCUUUUGGUGUGAAGAACCCUUAACCACCCACUCAUGGCACGCGGGGCUCCUCCCCUCCCAAGUAUUGAGCCUCUGACAUUUUUCCCUUCCGUUUCCUUCCUUAAAAUCCACUUUCAGUUUUUACUUCAGUGUUGCUCAGAGGCCUCUCAGUGGCCAUUUGGGUGAGCUGGGCCUACCACCUGCUGCCUGCUGGGAGGGGACUCAGGCUGCAGGGGUGAGUUGGGAGCCUGCUCUGGCCACCAUCUCUCCCUGCAGGUGUCAUGUGAGUCUCCUCAGGAGCUGCUGCCUGAGUGGAAAUGCUCUCAGUGGUGGAGAAUGGACUGGACCCCCGGGCUGCCAUCCCGGUCAUCAAGAAGAAGCUGGUGGGUUCUGUGAAGGCAUUGCAGAAGCAGUAUAUGUCCCUGGACACAGUGGUCACUAGUGAAGAUGGAGAUGCCAACACCAUGUGCAGUGCCUUGGAGGCUGUGUUUAUCCAUGGCCUUCAUGCCAAGCACAUCUGUGCGGAGGCUGGAUGGAAAAGGAAGAAAAGUGCCCACCAGAAGCCUCUGCCUCAGCCUGUCUUCUGGCCCCUCCUGAAAGCUGUCACCCACAAACACAUCAUCUCAGAAUUGGAGCACCUGGUCUUCGUCAACACAGAUGUGGGCCGCUGCCGGGCCUGGCUGCGGCUGGCCCUCAACGACGGCCUGAUGGAGUGCUACCUGAAACUGCUGCUGCAGGAGCAGGCCCGACUGUGCGAGUACUAUCAGCCCACAGCUCUGCUUCGAGACGCUGAGGAGGGCGAGUUCCUCCUUAGUUUCCUGCAGGGACUAACAUCCUUGUCCUUUGAACUGUCCUAUAAGUCUGCCAUCUUAAAUGAAUGGACACUCACCCCAUUGGCCCUCUCUGGGCUUUGCCCACUCUCUGAGCUUGACCCUCUCACUACCUCUGGUGCAGAACUACAGCAGAAGGAGUCUUUGGAUUCAAUUUCCCAUUCCUCAGGCUCAGAGGACAUCGAAGUCCAGCACUCGGGUCAUAAGAUCCGGCGGAAUAGGAAGCUCACUGCCUCCUCCCUCAGCCUGGAUACAGCCAGUUCAUCCCAGCUGUCCUGCAGCCUAAACUCCAAUAGCUGCCUACUUCAAGAGAAUGGCUUCAAGAGUCCAGACCGUUCUGAGGAACCCAUGUCCUACGAUUCAGACUUGGGCACAGCAAAUGCUGAUGAUUCUGACCCGUCUCUACAAGAGGUAUUGUCAGAAUUCAGCAAAGCCCAGGUAAACUCUGUGCCAACCAACGGACUAAGCCAAAAGACGGAGAUCCCCACGCUACAGGCCUCACUCUCCCUGGCCACACGUACACACCUGGACUUUGAUGUGCCUGCAGAAUCCCUUGCUGCCCAAGCAUCUUCUGGGAGCCCAGAUGGUGGUCACAAGCAGGAAUCACUUUCCCAGGCAUCUGACAUCCCAGAUGUGCAGCAACCAGAUGUUGCCCAAGCUGACCCUAUGGGGAGCACUUCAGACCAGCAGCCCUCUAGUGCUACGAAAGAGACAGGCGCAGCAGUCAGCCACAGGAGUGCCCAGCAGAAGGCCCUGGAGAAUGGUACGGUUGGACUGAAGCUUGUGGUUUCCUCCCCCACCAGCCCGAAAAGCAGAAACUGGAUCUCUGAAGAUGACUUCUACCGGCCUACCCAGGAGCAAGCCCCUGAGAGCACCACAGAUGGCUCCGGAGCUGGUUCUCGAGGGACUCCAGAGUCAAGGCCUGCUCUCCACAGGCAUUUUUCUCAAGGACCAAGAAAGAGCUGCUCCCUGGGGGCAUCAGACAAAGCAUGUGUGCCUUCCCCAGGAAGCAGGAAAGCCAGGGCAGCACCAGCUCCAGAGCAUAAGAACUUCCGGGUGGUGCACCGCAGGCAGAUGGGGCUGUCCAACCCAUUCCGGGGCCUCAUGAAGCUGGGCACAGUGGCUCGGCGAGGGGCCAUGGGCAUCUGGAAGGAGUUCUUCUGCGAGCUCUCCCCGCUGGAGCUCCGCCUCUACCUGAGUGAUGAGGAGCGCACCUGUGUGGAAAGCUGCUCUCUGCUGCGCUGUGAGGCUGUGGGGCCGGCCCACAGUGAUGGGCGCUUUGAGCUAGUCUUCUCUGGCAAGAAGCUGGCCCUGCGUGCCUCCUCUCAGGAUGAGGCUGAGGACUGGCUUGACCGGGUGCGGGAGGCCCUGCAGAAGGUCCGGCCUCAGCAGGAAGAUGAGUGGGUGAACAUCCAGUAUCCAGACCAACCUGAGGACCCCGCUGAGGCUCCCCUAGGUGGACACCUCUCUUACUCAGCCUUGCUUCCGGAGCCCACAGUCCCCCAGGGCACACAGUUUGACUGGACAUCUGCCCAGGUUCCGGAGCCAGAUGCUAUCAAAGAAUCCCUUCUGUACCUGUAUGCAGACAGGACCUGGAUACCCUAUAUUUUCUCCCUGUCUUUGGAGUCUCUUAAAUGCUUCCGAGUGAAAAACAAUGAGAAGAUGCUAAGUGACAGCCAUGGAGUGGAGACCAUCCGAGACAUCCUGCCGGACACAAGCCUAGGGGGCCCGGCCUUUUUCAAAAUCAUCACAGCCAAGGCCGUGCUGAAGCUGCAGGCAGGGACCGCCGAGGAGGCUGCCCUGUGGAGGGACCUGGUCCGCAAGGUCUUGGCAUCAUACUUGGAGACAGCCGAGGAGGCCGUGACACUUGGCGGGAGUCUGGAUGAAAACUGUCAGGAGGUGCUGAAGUUCGCCACCCGGGAGAAUGGCUUCCUGUUGCAGUACCUGGUGGCCAUCCCCACGGAGAAAGGCCUGGACUCCCAGGGCUGCUUCUGCGCAGGCUGCUCCCGGCAGAUUGGCUUCUCCUUUGUAUGACCCAAACUCUGUGCCUUCUCUGGCCUCUAUUACUGUGACAUCUGCCACCAAGAUGAUACUUCAGUGAUUCCAGCCAGAAUUAUCCACAACUGGGACCUCACCAAGCGCCCGGUCUGUCGGCAGGCCCUGAAGUUUCUGGCGCAGAUCCGGGCCCAGCCCCUCGUCAACCUGCAGCUGGUGAAUGCCUCUCUGUACGAGCAUGUGGAGCAGAUGCGGCUCAUUGGCAGGAGUCGGGAACAACUGAAGCUUCUGGGGGAUUACCUGGGCCUAUGUCGAAGUGGUGCCCUGAAGGAGCUGAGCAAGAGGCUCAACCACAGGAAUUAUCUCUUGGAAUCUCCCCACAAGUUCAGUGUUGCUGACCUCCAGCAGAUUGCAGAUGGGGUGUAUGAAGGGUUCCUCAAGGCCCUGAUCGAGUUCGCCUCCCAGCAUGUCUACCACUGUGACCUGUGCACGCAGCGGGGCUUUAUCUGCCAGAUCUGCCACCACCAUGACAUCAUCUUCCCCUUUGAGUUUGACACCACAAUCAGGUGUGCUGAGUGCAAGACCGUCUUCCACCACAGCUGCCAGGCUGUGGUGAAGAAGGGCUGCCCCCGCUGUGCCCGCCGGCGCAAAUACCAGGAACAGAACACUCUAACCUAGGCCAAUCUCCUCACCCACCCCAAGCCGUCCCAGCCGGGUUUGCCAUCACCCCAGGCUCCUCUUGGUGUGUCACAAUGUCUCCCCUUUUCAGGAAGACCCUCAGGUGUGACUAGAGAGCAUGGGCCUCCCAGAGAAAGCCAGGAAGCCCAAUGACAUCCCAUGGCCUCCCACCUCCCUCUGUCUCAGGAGCAAGGACACCACCAGAUGUCCUCUGCUCAAGGCUCAAUGGGGCCUUUCAUCAGGCUGGGCUCACCUCACUGUCACACCUCCAUUAGGGCUGUUCAAACGCUGUGGAAAUGAGACUUGGGGGACAUUUUCAAUUCCACAUUCCUGAUUAAAAGGUCUAGUUUUUUAAGGUGGGUUUUUUUCCCUUCAUAUUGCAACAGAAAAUAUUUUUUUAUUCUUGACCCUGCACAAGUCACCCAAGAAACCCGGGCCUUCUCACCCUGGUGGAUGUGCACACUUAGGCCUGGCCCGAAGGCAGGCAGUCAGGCCUGUCAGCAGACAGGUGCCUUUCCUUCGUCCUUGCUGGCACUUGCUGCUGACAACUCCAGUGCCACGUGCCAAACUGCUUCCAGCAGGACGAGGUCAUCCUGAUGACUACCUCCUUUCUCUCCCAUCUCAUCUUGACUUCCUAUUCCCUCGCUUCUCACCUGGAAAGUCCUCCCUUUCUAAGAGUCAGAGCCCCCUUGCUCUUCUCUAGUCUGGAGUCAUUGUGCAGAAGGGGAAAUGACUCAAAACCAGCACUGUCAGCACUUUGAGCCUUCCUCGGUUGGGGGAAGGACCUCAUCUUGCCCAUUCUCCUCCCCCCACCCACCUUACUCCCACAAAGAUGGGCAGGACCUGCCUCAGACUGACUCUUGAGGUCACACCCCUGCCUGACUGACUCCUGAGUAGGCUGGACCCCAGAGAGAGCAGUGACCAAGGGCAGGGGCUGCCUCAGAUGACUGCCGUGACUGCCGAGCCCUACCCUGUGGAGAAGUGACCCUGUCCUUCCGCUGCUGAACUGUGCAGGGACAUGCAGAGAAGCUAUCCUGUGGGUGCUUCUGCAGCCUCAGUCUUACAAAGCCAUGAAUUCACAAAGCUGCCCUGGACUUGCCCAGCAAGGGUCUGCCAGGACUUGGAGAAUUUCCUUGGAGUAGAAUCGGUUUUUGAAGGGGUCCUGGGGGCUGGAUGGGAGCCUGGAGUUCCCCUCUAGGCAUGUCUAGGUCCUUGAAGUUUGGGGAGGGUGGGUGAUCUCUGCGGCCUUCUCCUCCUCUCCUGGACCCAGCAGGCUCCUCUCACUGUCUCACCUGCCCUCAGCUUGGAGUCAGAGGCCUCAGGUGGAGAUGUACCUGUCACUGUCAAGAGGUGAGCCUUCCCCCAUCCUCCCUGGAGUGAUGGAGCUGCUGAGUCACCCACCCAGCCCCACAGGGUUGGAUGAAUUGUGCAAUAGAACAAAGGAGACAGUAGGCAGGCAGCGGAGGCUGCCACAUAGCUCCUGUGUCCCCAUUGUGGAAGGUGGUGCACACCUGUGCCCAGAACACCAAAGCUUCUUGAGCCAGGAAGUGUGACCAUAUCCCUUCCCCACCCACCUCCCAUAGCCAGCAUUAACUCUCCCCUGUAAACACCACCUGAUCAGAGCUAUCAACUGCCCCAGGUCCCUGAGUGGGCAGGAGUCUGGCCUGGUGUGGGCCUUGGUCCUGGGUGUAUAUUCCAUAUGGUGCCCUGGGAGGCAGCAGGAGUGAGGCCCUGAUUGAUGGGGCCUCCUCACCCCUGGGAUUAUGUGCAUUAGAGCUGCCCUCUCCUCCAGUACCAAAAAAGCUGCUAAUGCUGUUGGAUGAGUUGACUCUUACCCUCCGCCUCCAGUGGAAAGCCGAGGUGAACCUCAGCAGUGCCCACACUAUUCUUAAAAUGUUAUUUUAUGCAAUAAACUUUCUAGAAAGUAGGGCUCUGGCCCUGAGAUUUUGCAAUGUAUUGAAGGAACUGCGGCUGUGUGAUAUUUGAGUGAUUUUGCAAUAAAGACCUGAUCUUUCUAAUCA